UACGAAGGGGACUAGCGUUGUUCGGAAUUACUGGGCGUAAAGCGCACGUAGGCGGAUUUGUUAGUCAGGGGUGAAAUCCCGGGGCUCAACCUCGGAACUGCCUUUGAUACUGCAAAUCUCGAGUCCGAUAGAGGUGGGGUGGAAUUCCUAGUGUAGAGGUGAAAUUCGUAGAUAUUAGGAAGAACACCGGGUGGCGAAGGCGGCCCACUGGAU
rnacentral:rRNA from 1 species